UACGUAGGUGGCAAGCGUUGUCCGGAUUUACUGGGCGUAAAGAGCGCGCAGGCGGUCGAGUAAGUCGAAUGUGAAAGCCCCCGGCUUAACUGGGGAGGGUCAUUCGAUACUGUUCGACUUGAAGGCAGGAGAGGGCAGCAGAAUUCCCGGUGUAGUGGUGAAAUGCGUAGAUAUCUGGAGGAACACCGGUGGCGAAGGCGGCAUCCUGGACCGAUACUGACGCUGAGGAGCGAAAGCCAGGGGAGCAAACAGG
rnacentral:rRNA from 1 species